GGACAAACAACAGAAGAGACAUUGACACAGUCAAACUGUUGCAGUAAAUCAGAAAUAUAUUUAUGCUGAUUAAGGAUCAUCCCACCACGAACAGCUGACAUCUCUAUGCCUAGAAAAUAAUGUAGGACCCUAGGUCCUUACUUUUGAACUGAUCAUCCAGAAACAGUUUCAGGUCAGCAAUUUCAUCACAGUCAUCCCCAGU
rnacentral:lncRNA from 1 species